CACUGCAUGACAUNCAGGGGGGNGGGGGGGGGAUUAAUUGUUCAUACAGUUUACUAAUUUGUUCCUUUGGUUUAAGUAAUUGGGUUUAAAUUUGAGUUGGGAAUGAGUUAUAGAGAAAUUCUCAAAAGCUAAAAGGGGUAGGUUUAGGUGUAGGGUUGGAGUAUAGGGCGAUAGCAAAUAUUGUUUGUACAGUAUAAAAACCAUUACACCUAUGGAGAGUCCCUACAAGGAUAGCUGACCAGACAUGUGUGUGUGUGUGUGUGUGUGUUAUAAACCAGCAUAGAUUAUGUUUAUAUUGUAUUUUACCACAACUUAAAAGUGAUAAUUUUCUAUCUUUGAAGCUGUUUGAUAGAAGUUAUUGCUUUUAGUGUGUGCAUUUAAGUUACAACUGGCAUCAAAAUCAAAAUAGUGAAAGGAUAAUUUAAGUCGACCCUAAUUUGAUGAUUUAAUAAUUAAAAGUUAAAUGAAAAAAAAGGAGGAAAGUACCCUACCAACGGAAGUAGACUGACCAGACAUGUGUGUCUGUGUGGAGAGAGAGAGAGAGAGAGAGCUGAUCAUGGUACUGAGAUGAAGUCCCACGUUUACUUUAGCAGUGAGGGAUUGAUGACUUUGGACUAUUGAUCUCGUUCAUGGUUCUGUUCUUUUCAUCAGCUCUGUCAUGAUUUAUGUGUUUGCGCACAGGCAUGUAUUGUAAGGUUCACAAAAUCUUACAUUACUUCUUUAAGCAUAUGCUUCGAAUGGGUUUUUGUCCUACAGGAAGUCCAGGGAUGAGUAUCUUCAGCCGGUGUCGGGUGGCCGCAGCAGUUGCUCUGAUCUUGAUUAUACUGGGAGGGCUGGGAGCUGCCAUCUGGGCCCUUGGUGAGACUUUCUGCUUGCUGAUUUAAUGGAAUACUGCAGCCACUUCUGAGACACUUUACAUUUGAUUUCUGUGUUUGUUUUUCAGUCACAUAUCUUAGAACAACAGAAGAUACUGGAUUAUUUGAUGGUAAGCAUUGUUCAUUUGUAAUCAUAUAUAUAUAUAUAUAUAUAUAUAUAUAUAUAUAUAUAUAUAUAUAUAUAAUUGCAAAUACUCAACACUUUUACA
rnacentral:lncRNA from 1 species